rnacentral:rRNA from 1 species
CCUACGGGCGACAGCAGUGAGGAAUAUUGGUCAAUGGACGAGAGUCUGAACCAGCCAAGUAGCGUGAAGGAUGACUGCCCUAUGGGUUGUAAACUUCUUUUAUAUGGGAAUAAAAUGUUCCACGUGUGGGCUUUUGUAUGUACCCUAUGAAUAAGGAUCGGCUAACUCCGUGCCAGCAGCCGCGGUAAUACGGAGGAUCCGAGCGUUAUCCGGAUUUAUUGGGUUUAAAGGGAGCGUAGGUGGAGUGUUAAGUCAGUUGUGAAAGUUUGCGGCUCAACCGUAAAAUUGCAGUUGAAACUGGCAGUCUUGAGUACAGUAGAGGUGGGCGGAAUUCGUGGUGUAGCGGUGAAAUGCUUAGAUAUCACGAAGAACUCCGAUUGCGAAGGCAGCUCACUGGACUGCAACUGAGACUGAGGCUCGAAAGUGUGGGUAUCAAACAGGAUUAGAUACCCGGGUAGUC